GGCAACACAUGUGGAUAUGUCACUUAGUCUUAAAACGACAGACAAAAUGUAUGUUAAACCAUAGAUUCCCUAUCAAAUAAAGGCUUUCGAAUCCCGGAGUAUCAAUCCACACCCUCAAGAGAUCUCAAACAGCAUCACCAAGAAUUUGAAUCAUCAUCUCCUCACUGCUUCAGGUUACUUCAGUUCAGCUUGUCUACUUUUUCACUGCUAGAAUUUUAAAGAACACUCAAAAUGAUGACAAGCCUUGGUAUGAAAGAUGCGCCGGACUGACGAGAGCAUGUGAGAUGCUGCCUCAAAUUUCAAAUACGUCAUCUUCUCAGUGUCUCAAGCUAAUUCAGUUCAACUUCUUUGUGAUUCAUUCAAUACUAAGAUGUUAAGGUAUGUCUCACGUAGGGAGUUUUAUUUAUUGUAAAAAGGUCUGUUUACAUGGACUCUUAUAAAACCACUCAGACAAUCAGUCUUUACUGUUUACAACUGAAACAAAGUUGUUAUUUAUUUCAAAAACUAUGAACUUAACUAUGAGCUGUGUACAUUUUGUAGCUCCUUUGAAUCAUCAGGCCUGAUACUUUGCAGAGACAAGUUACGCAGCAAUUGCCGUCCAUGUACACGGUCUUAGUCAUUGCCUUGGUGCCCAUUGAGUAUACUAAUUCAAAUUUCCCUCACUGACUCUGGCAUUUUAAUGAUAAAAGCUGCCUUGCCCUUACAAGAAUGAAGCAUCAGGCCUGAAGAAUGGGUAAUGAAAUGCAGAAAUAUAGGGCUACUAGCUACGACUUACAUUUUGUACUGAAUACCAAAGCAGUGUAGUGAACACUCAUGCAACAUAGGCUAACAUGUACAGUUUUAAAACAUAACUUUACACAGAUGUAAGAGUUUGAAACACGUUCUAAAUACCUAGUUUGAUAAUUAUAUGUGGUAAAUGUGAUGUAUUUGUAUCACACGUGAUUAUAUUUAUCUGCAAAACAUUGUACGAGCCGAGAAGGGCCUUUGGUUUUAACGGAAUCCAAAUAUAUGGAAACUUAGAGUGAACAUCUGCAUUUCCAUAAAGUUGUUUGCUUAGUACUGAAAGUAAAUGUACAGUAUCUUUCCACCAUUUUAUCUUAAAAGCCAGAUUCCGCAAAUCCAUGAGAACCCCAACAUAAAUAGUUAUCAUAUUUUUUUAUGAUUCUUUGAUAUAUUUAACUUGGAAAAUUGACAAUGCAGAUGGUCCUUCUAAGCUUCCAUACAAUUUUUGUAACAUCUUUUGAAGUCUGGUUCCAAGUCUCUUAGUGCUAAUACAACACUAAUUCUUAAUGUAUGUGCCAGACUAAUUUCUUCACACACUACUACUGGUAGGCCUACAUUUUGUAUACACUUAGCUAAUAAGUUAUCAAGUUUAUGUGUGUAUAAAGGCCCCUAACUCUUAAUAUAUUAUGCCAGCUUCGGAAUUCACAGUUAUAAGUUGAGCAUACAUACUUUGUAAUACUUAAAUAAAGAAGUUUUAAGGUUAGAAGUCACGAACGUGUGUUCUGUGCAAUUUAAUUGUUAAAUUAGAGAGUUAUAUUAUAGCACGUACAACUUACGCUAAGUGCCAAUUUAGAGUAAUUUUAAGCAAUUAUUUAUUAAAACGACCCUUUCCUGUAAGUUUGUUUGUCACCAGCAUGCUUAUUACAUGUAGAAUGUUAACAGGAUACCAUGGAGUGUGUCACGCACUGUUUUAAGGGUGUUUUAAAUGUUUUCACUCUCAUUUUUUGUAAUUUUCAGUGAUUUUCAUGUUUUUUCCCAAAAAAA